GUCCUAGCCGUAAACGGUGCUUAUUUGCUGUGAGAGGAAUCGACCCCUUUCGUGGCGUAGCCAACGCGAUAAAUAAGCCGCCUGGGAAGUACGGUCGCAAGAUUAAACUCAAAGAAAUUGACGGGGCCUGCACAAGCGGUGGAGUAUGUGGCUCAAUUCGAUGCAACGCGAAGAACCUUACCUGGCCUUGACAUGUAGGUAGUAGAAGGGUGAAAGCCUGACGAGUGUAGCAAUACACAGCUUACACAGGUGCUGCAUGGCUGUCGU
rnacentral:rRNA from 1 species